CUCACACAAAUAUCUUUCAUCCCCAAAGAGUUCUCCUCCAGCAUGACUCAUACCUCCAAUGUGCCACCCCCCUCUCGAAAACAUCACACCCACUUCUAUCUUCCCCACCAUCCUCCAAAGUAUCGACCCUCCUUUGUUUCAUUGUUGAAACACCGCCGGCGCCUUCCCUGUCCUCCAUGUAUCUAGAUCUGGUACCGCAGAUUUGGUCUUCAGGUCAUCCCCAUGUUCAGAUCUGGUCUCAUCGACAACAGGGGAUGCCUUCAUCCUCUCGAUGCCUAGAUCUAGGUGCUCGUUCUUCUCCCCAUCACCACUGUGAUCUGAUCUCUUGUCAUUCCAUGAGCAAGUCCGGUCUUCAAUCCUUCCUUCGUUGUCUUGGCGGACAGAUGUGG